AUAUUCAGUCCGCAGUCCCUGAUUCAUCUUAUCCAAAACUCCUCCCUUUCCAGCGACGACAGCGACGGCAGCGAUGGCUCCCUUUCCAGCGACGGCAGCGAUGGCGGAGCACGAGUAGGUGAGGGGCGGCGCCUUCGUCGGACGGCUAGCCGUGGCGGAGGAGAAGGCGGCGCCAUGGUUGCGGCUACAGACGAAGCGGAGGAGAAGGCGGACGCCGUGGGCUUGCUGCACGGCUACAGCCGAGGCGGAGGAGAAGGCGGACGCCGUGGGCGUUCAUGGAGGAUGGUACACCGGCCGCCGGCACCGACCGCCAGUCCUCUCUGGCCUCCUCCGUGGUAUCCUUGUCAACCUCCGCUGCUCCUAUCGUGAUUUGGAUGGAAAAUUGGAGGCCGGCCGUGUCCUUCUCCAACACAAAUUGAUGUAGUGCCCGCCCCGGAUUUGAUUGGCUGCUAUAAGAAGCAAGGGUCCUCGGCCGGAAUCUCCAUCAGGUUUUGCCCUUCGACCAUAAUCUCCAUCAUCCUGUCGAAAUUGCAAGUUUUGAACAAACAUCCAAUGUCGCCGCCAAGUUCGCCGGAGGAACAAGCGCCGAGUUCGCCGGAGGAACAAGCGCCGGGUUCGCCGGAGGAACAAGAACGCCCGCCGAGUCCUGUGAUGGCUACACGAGAGGUAUGUAUCCCCUCGAAGCUACGCCACGACGCGUUAGAGCCUGAAGUCCGUCAAAACUUGACCUGACCGUCAUUGACGCCACCUUGCUGCCGCUGUUGCUGGAGAUGAGCUGAAUAGCAAGCUUUGGUUUCCUCUUUGCUUCCACUUGACUACUCUUCGACUAUCUGUAAUUGUAAAACACCUAAUACGAUUCUUCAGCACUUGAUACUGGUGGUCAUGGUCUUCUUCUCUUACUGUUGCGAGACUUGGUUUUAGUUAGUAAUCUUGAGAUCAAGUGUACUCGUGGAUUGCUUAGAUGGAGGACCACUGUUGGUUUUGUACUUAGAUGCGAUUGUGAAUCAUGUAUGGUUUAAUUCAGAUUCAUGUGGUAUUUUUCCUAAAUUUGUACCUGCCUGAACAUUAUUACUAUUAAACUAUGAAUAAUGAUUUUUGCAACUGUAGGAGAAUUUCUUUGCCGCAUCACAAGAAAAACAAUUUGAGACAGAAAAGUGUACUGAACCUUCUAAUUAUUGUAUGAACUUGCUUCACUUAAUUUAAGAAGUACACAUACUGCUAGCAUUUGCAUCACACCGGGCAGCCUAUUAUUGAGAGAUCUGACUUCAUCAGGAUUGCGGGUUCGUGACUUAAUCCUGAUUGGGUAUGCUGGCUGCCCGUACAGGAUUAACGUGCCCUAUAUGCGGCGACCCGCGGCUACUCCUCCCAGCCCCGGAUAUGCUCUUCCGCCACCUGCGACCCGCAGCUCCAAUGAUCCACGACAAGGGAUGACGACCAACUCGGCUGCCCCUCUCCCGUGCAGCUCCCUCUGAGGCUGCAGCAGCCUUCGCACGAGGCCACUACGGCGCCACCUAUGCUGUCCUGAAGUUCCCUAAGAUUCGAAAGUUUCAGUUUCAUCAGUUUCGUCAGAUUUAGUUUCAUCAGAUUCAGAAAAUUCAGUUCAUCAGUUUCAUCAAAGUUUCAGUUGUCAGUUAAUUUGUCGGGCACGUUGGCACUCGUGCACGUCGUCCGCUUCCUCACAUCACUCGCUCACAUAGCCCACCUGUCGAUCCAAACAAUGGCUUGGUCAGGGAUCGGACUGGACCAGACGGUGUUCACCAUGACCUGAAGGCGAUGCCCGAGUCCAAGUGCGUGUAAGUUACACCAGCCUUUGAUUUAUAUAUCCACCGUCCACUGAUCAGUGACCUGAAAAGGUUGGGCGCUCUGAGUUAGCACAUAAGCUGAUUGAUGAGAUGGAUUGAAAUGCUUUUGAUUUGUUACGUCGUCAAUAUUCCAAACUGAAGUCCAAGGAAGAACGAUCAGGAACAACAGGUAAGAAGCCCAUGAGUUAGUUGUCUUACAGGCAUGCACGUGCACAAGGUGCUGAUACAUAGUUACAGAUUUCCAAUGGAUGCUGGUAUUGUCGGCUGACAUCUCCGGGGUUGUACAUCAUGAUGGUUACCAAGACACGACAAUGAUCUCAAUGCUACAAACCUGAAUGGAAUACCAUAACUGCAGACCUGAUCACAAUGCUACAGACUUGAAUGAAAUACCAUGAUUGCAGGCCUUUGCUGAUUUGCGUUUUCCAUUGAUCUUCAAUGCACUAAAGAAUAGUGAAAUCUUGGCAUCUGAUUCAUUUUGCAGGCUAUGCUUUUAACUCAAUGAAAAUGUGCAUUGUUAGUUGACCUUAUUGUCUGUUUGUAGCUAAUUGGGAGACAAACAUGGGCAAUGAGCAGCUUUUUUGAUGACAGUGCAAUCAAGGACUCACAUAUUCACUGAUGAAUCUACCUCUAUUUGGGUCUUCAUCGGCAAUGUACAUAGUGAUGCUUAACUGCCGGUUUGAAUUAUUGGAUGCAUCUGUUGUGAGACAUUCAUGUGUUGUCAUAGUGACUUGCCUGCGCUCAUUGUUGAUUGCUAAGAACUGAGUUGGUCCAGAGAUUGCAGCUGAGAUGGAGCUCAAGAGGACAACUAGACAUGCACAGCUUGGUGUGAUCCACAGAGGAGAUCACAUUUCCAGUCCAGUCAUAAAUUAUUAUAAUUAUUUUACUCAUGUUCAUACUAAAUUUGAAACGGGUCAAUCCACAAGCUUUUGAUCCUCGGUUCAUUUUUGAACUAUAUCCAUGUGUUCUAUCAAGGAUCAUUUUGGCGCAUAUGGAAAAGACAAGCAAUUUUGUUACCAGAAUUAUCAUAUUUGUAAGGUCAAUCACACAUGGGUUCUGCACUUCACUAGAAAUAAUUUAUACCCUUGACCUGAUAAGUUGUUGUUGUUGUAUUAUGAAUUAUUCAUAGUAUGAGACCAAAUUUAUUGUUUUAGUUUCAUACAAUUUUUUGUUCUUUGAUAAAUGGAGAUUGUCAUUGUCUUCCGUUUGCAUGCCAGAAUUUAGCGGUUCAUUGUAACAGUUAUUUGGCUUGAUAUUUAUCUGUUUAGAUACGUGGGUUCAAGGAUAUUAAUAUCCCGUUGCAACGCCUCCCUGGGUGGCAACGUUCUGAUGUUGCCGUGCCAUGCAGUCGGAUGUUUUGAGUUCUGUUUUUAGGUGGACAAGGUAACUAGCACUUUUUUCAUAGCGAAACAUGGGGGUUGUGCUUGCAUAUAUAUUUCUUAGAAAAAUUGAGUGCAUGCUAAAAAAAAUUCUCUCCCAUUGCAACGCAAGGGCAUUUGUGCUAGUUUAUUUUUUUAAUCUAUCCCUAAUAAUAAUAAAGCACGGAUUGACUCCGUGGGU